UACAGAGACUGCAAGCGUUAUUCGGAUUCACUGGGCGUAAAGGGUGCGCAGGCGGCCGUGUGUGUCAGGUGUGAAAGCCCGGGGCUUAACCCCGGAAUUGCGCCUGAAACUACAUGGCUAGAGCAUUGGAGAGGGAAGCGGAAUUCACGGUGUAGCAGUGAAAUGCGUAGAUAUCGUGAGGAACACCAGAGGCGAAGGCGGGUCUCUGGACAGUUCCUGACGCUGAGGCACGAAGGCCAGGGGAGCAAACGGG
rnacentral:rRNA from 1 species